AAUCAACGCUGGCGGCGUGCCUAACACAUGCAAGUCGAGCGCGAAAGGGGAGCAAUCCCCAAGUAGAGCGGCGAACGGGUGAGUAACGCGUGGGUAAUCUGCCUCCGAGUGGGGAACAACACCGGGAAACUGGUGCUAAUACCGCAUGACAUCGUUGGACCUUCGGAUCUGACGAUCAAAGCCGGGGACCGCAAGGCCUGGCGCCUG
rnacentral:rRNA from 1 species